UACAGAGGGUGCAAACGUUGCUCGGAAUCAUUGGGCGUAAAGGGCUCGUAGGUGGCCAACUAAGUCAGACGUGAAAUCCCUCGGCUUAACCGGGGAACUGCGUCUGAUACUGGAUGGCUUGAGUUCGGGAGAGGGAUGCGGAAUUCCCAGUGUAGCGGUGAAAUGCGUAGAUAUUGGGAGGAACACCAGUGGCGAAGGCGGCUCACUGGACCGGUACUGACGCUGAUGCGCGAAAGCGUGGGGAGCAAACGGG
rnacentral:rRNA from 1 species